AGCAGGCACGCAAAUUACCCACUCCCAGCCCGGGGAGGUAGUGACGAAAAAUAACGAUGCGAGACUCUUCCGAGGCCUCGCAAUCGGAAUGAGUCCAUCCUAAAUCUUUGGACGAGGAUCCAUUGGAGGGCAAGUCUGGUGCCAGCAGCCGCGGUAAUUCCAGCUCCAAUAGCGUAUAUUAAAGUUGCUGCGGUUAAAAAGCUCGUAGUUGGACUUUCUAGAUCCAUUUCGUGGGUGGGUCGCUCGUUGUACUGGCGAUUCGCGCCAGUCACUGGUCGACGUCGUGCGGAGUGUCGUACUUCUACUAAGUUGGCUUUACGGCUUUCGAUAGGGGAGACUUCUCUCUCUCGGCAAACUUUCCAGCGGACGGCGUUUCUCGGUCUUCGGGUAUAGCUCGCCCGCGUUUGGUACAAUUAAAAUUUUGUCGGCUCGCUCGGAGUGCUCUUUACCGAGUGUUCCAGGGUGGCCGACACGUUCACUUUGAAAAAAUUAGAGUGCUUAAAGCGGGCUGUAAAAACGGCCGGAAUGUCUGUGCAUGGAAUGAAGUAACAGGACCUCGAUUCUGUUCUUUUUGUCGGUUUUAAUGAACCGAGGUAAUGAUUAAAAGGGACAGACGGUGGCAUUAGUAUUGCGACGCUAGAGGUGAAAUUCUUGGACCGUCGCAAGACUAACUACUGCGAAAGCAUUUGCCGAGAAUGUUUUCAUUAAUCAAGAACGAAAGUUAGAGGAUCGAAGGCGAUCAGAUACCGCCCUAGUUCUAACCCUAAACUAUGCUAACUAGCGAUCCGCCGAAGUCAUUCCCACGACUCGGCGGGAAGCCCCAG
rnacentral:rRNA from 1 species